GCCAAUAAUUGAAACAAUCUGUCAGCCCAUUUUAUAGAAAAAACACUCAAAUAUUAAGAAAAUUAUGAAACAUGCCACUGAGACUCACAUAACCCAUUUCUCCCAAAAUCAGAACGGUUCCAAAAUCGAAACCAUCCCAAAAUCCAAAUCCUCCCUAAAUCGAUCUAGGGCUCCGACGAAGGUAGGGGACGAAGAAGCUGGCGGAUCGAGGCAGCGAAGCAACCGAUGAAGGGAGGCUGCGAAUCCUGCGAAGGGAGGCUGCCAAUCAGGUGAAGCAAGGCUGCGAUGCAACUUGCGAAGCGAGGCUGUGAAGCCUGCGAAGUGAGGCGGCGAAGGGAGGCUGCGAAGGUUAUCAAUUUGACUAUGUAUUUGAUUGGACAAUACUGAAGUAUCCACAAAUUGGCUCCGGUUCCAAAACACGAGCAAGUGCAAAACCAGCUUUGAACCCUAGACCUUCUGCAGAAAGAACAGAAACGCCUUCAGUGGGACAAGAUUUUCGAGAUAGAUUCUCAGGUGCGGUUGAAGCAUUUUCUAGAAGGAAUGGUUAUGGGCAUGGUUCACAUGGUGAUAACUCCAUACAUAGAUCAACUGAUGAUGCGCCAUCAUCCAAAGAUGUGGUGAGUGGUGCCAACAUCUUAUACACUUUAUGUUUGAGAAAUUCUGAGGGUCAGUACCUUUAGC